rnacentral:rRNA from 1 species
CCCUUAGAUGUCCUGGGCCGCACGCGCGCUACACUGAUGCAUGCAACGAGUUUAUAACCUUGGCCUGAAAGGUCUGGGUAAUCUUUUGAACGUGCAUCGUGAUAGGGAUAGAUUAUUGCAAUUGUUAAUCUUGAACGAGGAAUUCCUAGUAAACGCUAGUCAUCAGCUCGCAUUGAUUACGUCCCUGCCCUUUGUACACACCGCCCGUCGCACCUACCGAUUGAAUGGUUCGGUGAAGAUCUCGGACUUCGAUAUUUAUUCUUUAUUGAGUUUAUAUUGUGGGAAGUUAUCUAAACCUCAUCAUUUAGAGGAAGGUGAAGUCGUAACA